AUCUAGAGCAACGUCUUAGAAUCAAAUGUAUUAAUAUUCAUGGCAUAAAAAUGUAUUAGCAUUAGUAUGAACACUAAUUUGUAUAAAUAAAGGCUAUAUAACCUAUAUAAUAACUGCAUACCUAUCCAGGUAGAUUUUGCUGUGAAAUGAGGUUUGCCUUAAAUUGUGAAAAACUUUACCUUUCUAGAGCUGGUUUUUUUUUUUUUUUUUUUUUGGAACUUUAGAUAAUGGUUUAAAGACCUGUGCAAGCAAAAUAUGUUAAGAUUUCAACAUCUGGCUAGCCCUGGGGGUCAAUUAAAAGAGUUCUUUGAAGUCCUGGCUGUGUUAGAUGGUCUUGUGGUUUGGGGUGUUUAGUCUGAAGGCAGAAGAGUGCACUUUUAGAAGAACAAAAUACAAACUUUGGAGUAAUUAUUGAAAAAGUAAUGAGUAAAAUAUCUUAAUUUGCAUUCUUGACCUUUGUCAUCAGUCAUUACCUUUCAAUAUGUAGUGCUUUGGUUGAAAAGAAUAGCAAUUAACACUAACACUCCCUAGAAAUCUUAAUGUUAAAAAUUGCCUUAUUUUUUUAAGCCUCUCUGGGAAGGGAUCCUUGGUGUUUUCAUCUUUUAUUUCUAGCACAUAAAAGCACCUCCUUCUAAAUAUCCUGUGACUGUAAAGAUACUUUUUCAGUUGAGUCUUUUAAAGUACAAAAUUAAGGAAUCUAUUUAUCUCUCAUAUACAGUGUGCACUAACUAACUGUGCUAAGUGCUGAGGAUAUAGUCUGAUGGGAGAGACGCACACAUAAAUAGAAUAUCACAAUAUUAUGUGAUGAGUGAUGUGAGAGGUUAAGUACAGUGUGCCAUGGAACACCAUGUUCUGGGGUGAGAGAAGGAACAGAGAUAAAGUAAGAAGUUAGGCAAGUGAAAUGAGGAGGGAAAUAAAAAAUAUUCUAACAGUGAUUUUCCAAAUGUGAUUCAUGGACCAGCAGCAUCAGCAUCACCUGGGAAUUUGUCAGAAAUAGAGAUUCUCAGUCCUUACCCCAAACCUACUGAAUUUAAAACUCUGAGAACAGGAGCUGAGCAAUCUAUUUCAAUAAGGUUGAUCAUCUGGAUGAUUCUGAUGCAAACUUAAGUUUGAGAACCAUGGUUCUAAACAGCAAACAUGAAAAAAGAAUCAGAGCAUAUAGGCAGUCUACUAUAAAUAGCAAGAUGUUAGUGUAACUGAAUGGCAUUAGGCCAUAGGAGAGUUUUAAGCAGAAAAAGUAAAAAUCUAACUUUUAUUUUAUUUUAUUUUAUCUUAUCUUUUUAGGGCCACAUCUGCGGCAUAUGGAGGUUCUCAGGCUAGGUAUUGAAUUGGAGCUGUAGCUGCUGGACAAUGCCACAGUCACAGCAAUGCCAGAUUGGAGCCACAUCUGCGACCUACACCACAGCUCACAGCAGCGCCGGAUCCCUAACCCACUGAGCAAGGCCAGGGACUGAACCUGUGUCCUCAUGGGUUCCAGUCAGAUUUGUUUACACUGAGCCAUGACAGGAACUCCCUAACUUAAAUUUUAAAAGAGUUUCUUCACAAGGUAAAAAAUUGACUGAGUAAAGGGAGCAUGAGAUGAUGGAGGUUUGAACUAGGGUGGCAGAGGUGGAGGUAAUGAGAACAGUGUGUCUGGUAGUGUGAAUAAGCUUUGUAGGUAAAACUGAUUGGACUGAUUGAAUGUUCCAAUACGUUGGAUUUGGGAUGUGAGAGAAAGAAAGGAAUCAAGGUUUGGGCCUGAGCAAGAAUGGUAUUACUACUUCUAUGAAAUGAAGAAGGAAGAGCAGUACGGGGCAGAAGAUUAGCAGUUUAGUUUUGGACUUGUUGAGCUGCCUGUAGACAUCCAAAUGGAAAUGUCAGAUAGCCUGUUGGGUAUGUAUACAUGUCUAUAGUUUGCAUAGGAGUGGCCUAGAUAUCCAAAUUUGGAAGACAGUAGCAUGUAAAUGAUAUUUAAAUUCAUGAAAUGGAUAAGAACUCCAAUGAGAUCUGUAUGUAGGUAAGGAAGAGAAGGGGUCUAUGCAAUGAGACCUGGACACUCUGAUUUUAAGAGUUUAGGAAGAUAAUAGACUUCCUAUAUCUUAACUCAAUAGAAAAUGGAGAGAAAGAAUGGCCACUGAGGUAGGAGGAGAACCACAGAUGGGGUGUCUUGGAGAUCUAGUGAAAAAACUUUUAGGAAGAAGAAACCAUUCAAUAAGUCAGUUGCUACUCAUAGGUGGAAUGAGAUAAAAGCUGAGAUGUAUCCUUGAGAUUUGACUGCAUGGAGGUCAUUGGUAAUCCUGAUUAAGUGCAGCUUUGAUGACAUAAUGGGAAAAAGACCAGGUUGGAGUGUGCUCAAGAGAGAAAGGAGAGUUUAGUGGAAAUUAAGUACAGACAAUUCUUUGGAAGAGCUUUGAUCAGGGGGAGGAGGUGCAAAGAGAAGAGGCAGUAGCUCUGUUCUAAGAACAAUGCGGAGCCUAUGAAGAACUCUUGGUGCCUACUAUUUCAAGGACAGUUUAAAAUACUUGAUAUUGCUGUUUUGAUAAUGUGUCUUCAUUAGCUAUUACAUGUCAGAAAGAGUGAUUAUGUUAGCUAAUAUCUUAAUCUUAUGUGCUAUGAAACAAUGUCAUUGAAAGUGAAUAACUCAACUAUUUAAGGAAUAUAUGAUAUUAGAUUUUGAUUCUCUGCUUUAAGUAAGAAGAGAUUUGUUCCAUGCCUUUAUGUGUUAUGCGCGCGCGAGUGUGUGUGUGUGUGUGUGUGUGUGUGUGUGUGUGUGUGUGUGUGUGUGUGUGCAGUUGAACCUUGAACAACUUGGGUUUGAAAUGAAGGGCCAUUUAUUUAUUUUUAAAUUUUUUUUAAUUUUUUUGCUUUUUAGGACUGUACCUGCAACAUGUGGAGGUUCCCAGGCAAGGGGUCCAAUCGAAGCUGCAGCUGCUGGCCUAUGCCACAGCCACAGCAACAUGGGAUCUGAGCCAAGUCUGCCACCUAUACCACAGCUCAUGGCAUCACCUGAUCCUUAACCCACUGAGCAAGGCCAGGGUUUGAACCUGCAUCCUCAUGGGUACUAGUCGGGUUUGAUACUGCCGACUCACAGGGGGAAUUCCACAGGGGCCAUUUAUACCCUUUUUUUCCCCUUAAAUAUGUUGGAAAUUUUUAUGGAGAUUUGUGAUAAUUUGAAAAUAGCUUGCAGACAAGCCAUAUAGCCUAGAAAUAUUUUUUUAAAAAAGAAGUUAAGUGUAUCAUGAAUGCUUAAAAUACUUGUAGACCUCCAUGGCCAGGGAUCAAACCCGCACCUCCAAAGUGAUCCAAGCCACUGCAGUCAGGUUCUUUAACCUACUGUGCCAUGUCGGGAACUCCUACAAGUCUAUUAUAAGCAGUUAAAAUUUAUCCAAACCUACACAAACACUUAAACCCCAUCUAUGGCACCAUUCCCAGUUGAGGGAAAGGUAAACAAAUGUAAAGAUGCAAGAGUAAAGCAUAACUGCAUAAAAUUAACUGUAGCACAUAGGAUACUGUAGUAAUAAUUUUGUAGUUACCUCCUGUUGCUGUAAGCAGUGAGCACAAGUGUUGGAAGUAUCCAACACUUGAUACUGGAGUCAUCUCUCCAGUAAAUUGCAUAUUGCAUAAAAAGUGAUCUCUUGUGGUUUUCAAGUAUUUUUUAUGUUUAGUGCAAUACCAUAAACCUUGAAUAACAGCAUACAAAGGGCCACUAGUGAUCCUGAAAGUGUUCCCAGAAGCAGAGUCAUGACAUUACAAGAAAAAAAAUUUUUUUCUUUUGGCUUUUUGGCUUUUAGGGCUGCACCUGUGACACAUGGAGGUUCCCAAACUAGGGGUCCAAUUGGAGCUGUAGCUGCUGGCCUACACUACAGGAUCUGAUCUGUGUCUGCAGUCUAUACCACAGCUCACAGCAACGCCAGAUCCUUAAGCCACUGAGCGAGGCCAGGGAUCAAACCCACAUGCUAAUGGAUGCUGGUCGGGUUCGUUAACCGCUGAGUCUUGAUGGGAACUCCACAAGAAAAAAUUAAAUAGCUU
rnacentral:lncRNA from 1 species